UUAGUACUCCCUCCGUCCCAAAAUUUUUGUCUUAGAUUUGUCUAGAUACGGAUGUAACGUGACUUGAUACAUCCGUAUCUAGACAAAUCUAAGACAAGAAUUUUGGGACGGAGGGAGUAUUGU
rfam:Triticum urartu cultivar G1812 contig784104, whole genome shotgun sequence.